rnacentral:rRNA from 1 species
UCCUGUUCAUGAUAUCAAACUCACAACUGGCAGCCCACUGAAGCUAAGCAGGUGUGAGCCUGGUCAGUACCUGGAUGGGAGACCUCCUGGGAAAAACUAAGGUUGCUACUGGAA